ensembl:lncRNA
CGCAGAAUUCACCAGACUUGUGUCGAUGGACCUGAGCAAGUCCUUUUAUGAGGGUCUUGACAAAGCUGCUGUAUUUGUACCGCUCGAGGCGCCAUGCAGACAUCGCAGAAAGGAGUGCCAUACUGGAGAGCCUGGAUAAAAAUGCAUCAAAUCACAGGAAGAGGGUUGCAGUACUGCUGGGGCUGCCACUGUCCAUGCGGGAGAAUCCAUCUCAGUUCUUACAGAUCUGUGAGCACACAGAUUCUGAAGAAGAGUUAAUCAAGGGCGUGACUGUUGGAAUCAGUACAGUUGUGGAUGACGCGAUGGACCCUAUUCCGUGUGACUGCAGUGAUGUAGCCCUUGUAAUGGAAGAAGUUGUCGUUCUACGCAAUCUUGGUGAUGUACCAAAUGCAUUUGUCAACUUGAUG